GAGCUGUGCCUCAUGAUAUUGGACUUAACGAUCCAUGGUAUGAAGUUAAUGCAUACAAUUUCUUCAACACAGACAGAUGGAAGGACUUAAAUUCAAAAUUUGUACUUCAAGUUUAUAGGGAUUUUGUUGCUACCGGUGAUAAAUGUUUUGGAAAAUCUGUUUGGCCAUCAGUAUACAUAGCUAUAGCAUAUAUGGAUCAGUUUGAUAAGGAU
rnacentral:misc_RNA from 1 species